GAUGAACGCUGGCGGCGUGCCUAAUACAUGCAAGUCGAACGGACAGACGCGUAUCUUGCUUCUCUCUUGUUAGCGGCGGACGUGUGAGUCACACGUGGAUACCUUCCCUUUAUGUCUGAGAACUCUUCGGGACACCGGAUCUAACAUCGGAUCAUCUUUUGAACCGCGUGGUUCUUUAGUGAUUUUCGGUCUUGCUGUCCCUACUAGAUGUUUCCGCGCUGCUUGAGCUAGUUGGUACGGUAACUGCUUACCAAGGCUACGAUGGAUAGCCGACCUGAGAGGGGGAUCGGCGACACUGGAACGGAGACACGGACCAGACUCCUACGGGAGGGAGCAGUAGGGAAUCUGCGGCAAUGGGCGAAAGCCUGACGGAGCAAGGCCGCGUGAGUGAUGAAGGUCUUCGGAUCGGAAAGCUCUGUUAUUAGGGAAGAAAAGAUUUGGAAGGAACUGAGGAGAGCGUGACGGUACCGAAUCAAAAAGCAACGGCUAACUACGUG
rnacentral:rRNA from 1 species